rnacentral:rRNA from 1 species
CCUACGGGAGGCAGCAGUGGGGAAUUUUGGACAAUGGGCGCAAGCCUGAUCCAGCCAUGCCGCGUGUGGGAAGAAGGCCUUCGGGUUGUAAACCACUUUUGUCAGGGAAGAAACGGCUUUUUCUAAUACAGAGAGCUAAUGACGGUACCUGAAGAAUAAGCACCGGCUAACUACGUGCCAGCAGCCGCGGUAAUACGUAGGGUGCAAGCGUUAAUCGGAAUUACUGGGCGUAAAGCGUGCGCAGGCGGCUUUGCAAGACAGAUGUGAAAUCCCCGGGCUCAACCUGGGAACUGCAUUUGUGACUGCAUGGCUAGAGUACGGUAGAGGGGGAUGGAAUUCCGCGUGUAGCAGUGAAAUGCGUAGAUAUGCGGAGGAACACCGAUGGCGAAGGCAAUCCCCUGGACCUGUACUGACGCUCAUGCACGAAAGCGUGGGGAGCAAACAGGAUUAGAUACCCUGGUAGUCCACGCCCUAAACGAUGUCAACUGGUUGUUGGACGGCUUGCUGUUCAGUAACGAAGCUAACGCGUGAAGUUGACCGCCUGGGGAGUCGGCCGCAGGUUGAACGUCAAAGUGUAGUGGCGUGAGAGAGCGACGACGACGACGACGGAGGGAGGNG